rnacentral:rRNA from 1 species
AGCGAACGCUGGCGGCAGGCUUAACACAUGCAAGUCGAGCGGGCAUCCUUGUGGUGUCAGCGGCAGACGGGUGAGUAACGCGUGGGAACGUGCCCUUCGGUUCGGAAUAACUCAGGGAAACUUGAGCUAAUACCGGAUACGUGCGAGAGCAGAAAGGUUUAUCUGCCGAAGGAUCGGCCCGCGUCUGAUUAGCUAGUUGGUGAGGUUAUGGCUCACCAAGGCGACGAUCAGUAGCUGGUCUGAGAGGAUGAUCAGCCACACUGGGACUGAGACACGGCCCAGACUCCUACGGGAGGCAGCAGUGGGGAAUAUUGGACAAUGGGGGCAACCCUGAUCCAGCCAUGCCGCGUGAGUGAUGACGGCCUUAGGGUUGUAAAGCUCUUUUCUCCGGGACGAUAAUGACGGUACCGGAGGAAUAAACCCCGGCGAACUUCGU